ACGGGUGAGUAACACGUAUCCAACCUGCCGUCUACUCUUGGCCAGCCUUCUGAAAGGAAGAUUAAUCCAGGAUGGCAUCAUGAGUUCACAUGUCCGCAUGAUUAAAGGUAUUUUCCGGUAGACGAUGGGGAUGCGUUCCAUUAGAUAGUAGGCGGGGUAACGGCCCACCUAGUCUUCGAUGGAUAGGGGUCCUGAGAGGAAGGUCCCCCACAUUGGAACUGAGACACGGUCCAA
rnacentral:rRNA from 1 species